CACUGCUACUAUGUUUGGCUUCAGCUGAGAUCCUUGCUGGCUGUUUGAGCAGAGAGGCCAAGGAUUUAAUUUAUCCAGGGACUGAAUUUUUUUGUUACCUCUCCCAUGAUUUGGUCUCUACUCAGUGGACGACUCUAUCCAGUGCUAAGUCUGGCAUUGUUUUCAAACAGCAUAGCACUUAGAGCGAGAAAGGGGGGAAAAAAACACUUAAAUGUUGUUACUAUUUUUACUUGUAAACACUCCCAUGGGAGUAAUUUACUGUGACGAUCCAAACAUGCUGUUUUGCAGUAGUAUUUUAGAAGUCUACUGCAGAAUUGGUAAAUAGAAGAGUAAAUUUUCCAAACAGAAGAAUGGACCAAGGUUGGAAAUCUAGUAUGAGUUGGUGCACAUGAAGCUGAUGGAGAGAAUGUCAGGCGAAUUUGUGGCAGAAUUGAAAGUGGAGGAGGCUGAGACAGACAGCAUGAGGCAUGACAGCCGCUUGAGCUCUCCUAGUCUGCGUAUGGUUUUAUGUGCUUCUAAUUAUCAAUGUGUGGGAGUUUUGUCAAAAAAGCUGGGCGUGUGGUUCCUUUUGUUCUUCUGUGUCUGUUGUGGUUUACAUUUUAAAUGGGACACAAAUGUGAUUUAUAGUGCGUGGCAUGAUGCAGUUAGGGAAAAUUGGUCUUUUCCAGGCAACACAAACAUGAGCAGGAGAAAGAGUGCACGUGAACAGCAUGUUCCUCUCAGUCUAGAAGGAACACUCCUGUAAAACUCAGAGAGAUGGAGAAGAAUAAACAACAUACAAGAAGUCCUCUUCA
rnacentral:lncRNA from 1 species